rnacentral:rRNA from 1 species
CACGUAGGGGGCAAGCGUUGUCCGGAUUUAUUGGGCGUAAAGAGCUCGUAGGCGGCUCAGUUAGUCGGGUGUGAAACCCCCGGGCUCAACCCGGGGACGCCACCCGAUACUGCUGUGGCUAGAGUCCGGUAGGGGAGCGUGGAAUUCCUGGUGUAGCGGUGAAAUGCGCAGAUAUCAGGAGGAACACCGGUGGCGAAGGCGGAUCUCUGGGCCAUUACUGACGCUGAGGAGCGAAAGCGUGGGGAGCAAACAGG